AGGUUGGGAUUUGUCGCAAUGCUGUGUUUCUCUGUAUGGUAUUGCACUUGUCCCGGCCUGU
rnacentral:pre_miRNA from 1 species